rnacentral:rRNA from 1 species
GACGAACGCUGGCGGCGUGCUUAACACAUGCAAGUCGAACGGAAAGGCCCUGCUGUUGUGGGGUGCUCGAGUGGCGAACGGGUGAGUAACACGUGCGUAACUUGCCCUUGACUUUGGUAUAGCUUAAGGAAACUGGGGCUAAUACCGGCCAGGAGCUCCUGCUGCAUGGCGGGGGUUGGAAAGUUUCGGCGGUUGGGGAUGGACUCGCGGCUUAUCAGCUUGUUGGUGGGGUAGUGGCUUACCAAGGCUUUGACGGGUAGCCGGCCUGAGAGGGUGACCGGCGACAUUGGGACUGGGAUACGGCCCAGACUCGUACGGGAGACAGCAGUGGGGAAUAUGGCACAAUGGGCGGAAGCCUGAUGCAGCAGCGCCGCGUGCGGGAUGAUGGCCUUCGGGUUGUAAACCGCUUUCGCCUGUGACGAAGCGUGAGUGACGGUAAUGGGUAAAGAAGCACCGGCUAACUACGUG